GACCCUGCUUGCACAAGCACUUCCCUUUCUCAGGUGUUAGGGAAUGUCUAGAGAAGCCCACGAAAACCUUUGGAAUGCAGUGAGACAGAGAAGAAAAUAUCAUUCAUUUUUUUUUUUUCUGUAGUCUGGGCACAGUAUUUUACUCAGCGCACACACAAGGGGAAAAUAUUAGCAGCACGGCUGUUACUGGAGUUAAAGAUUAACUUGGCUAGAGAAAAUGAAAGGCAGCAAGUAUCACUGGUUAAUUGAUUUUAUUGUAACUUUAUCCAAACGCCCUACCAUAGUAAGCACCGUGUAAGCAAAUAGGAUGACUGACCACCUUUCCUGAAGAACCAGCAACACAGAAAUCAUAAACAAAGCACUAAGAGCACCCAGGUGAUCUUAAGGUGUCAGACCAUGGCUGAUGAAUUACAAGAGCACAAAAAAACAGCAUCAACAAAAAUCUGCAUCAGUGCAAUAGAUUCUGGGUCUCAGAAGCCCUUCCUUCUGAAUAUAGACAAACAGGUUCUCUGGGCCCCAUCCCCUCAGGAAAAAAUACGAUCUUAUCUUGGAAAUACACCAGGCUCCACAGCAAAAGAGCUGCACAAGAGCAGAGAACCCCAGGAAACCCUCAUCACAUGGAGCUGCAAAUUUCACCAGUGUUUCUCAUCUGCUUCUUCAGGGUCAGUCAGCUUCAGAAUUUAACACUGGUGAGCACCCCAACACUUCCAUGUUUGUAUCUCUAGCCCAGCUGGGUCUCAUCUGUAUUCACCUGAAGGGAGCUCACUGAACGUAAAGAGUGUCCCACCUGACCGUGUUUUGGUCCUAAAGUCAUUCCUAUUUACUUUUAUCUGAAAAUGAUCGCUCAAAGUAAAAACAGCUACACGGGCCCAACUAUAAUGACACAGACUUUCCUCCUCUCUAAAUAAAUAUGAACAGGACUAAAACUGAAUAAAAAUAACUGUUCUGUUGAAAAGUCCUGAGUGCGUACAUGUGGAAACUUCUAAGAGGCCAAUAAAUAAGACCAUCUGAGUGAAUGAGGCUUUUAUUCUCAGCUUGAGACUGCAGAGGCUGAAACUGAUACGCAGCCAACUUAAUAGUAGGUGCUCUCACCAGAACUGAGCGUUCCUAAUAGGCAGUGGUUAUGCUUGCUCUAAAGUAGAGGCCGUAGCCAGCCUGUGAUUGAUACUGUGUAUUGACUGGGUGUGAGUACAACAAAAGAGGAGUUCAGAAGAUGUUGUACCUGCCGAUUUGAAGAAAUACUUUCCAAAUUCGGUCAGACAGAUCAGCAAGCAGAAACAGUAAAUCUCUGCAGAGAAAACUGGCUCACCUGAGUGGAAACAACUGCACGCCAAGGCCUUCUGGAGGAACGCUCUGAGAUAAGUCAGGCACCUGGGCUGCCCCUGUGCUGGCAAGCAGGAUGCCAGGGCUCACCCUCCUGCCACAGCGUAUAUCCUAUGCCAGUACACGUCUGUCGCUGUACUGCUCACUUAAUCCUCAUGAACCUUUUCGCACUGUUUAGCCCAUACAAAAAGUCUCCCACAACUGUACUGAAUCCCUAAACUAUUUUGUGUAGCUUUGCUCUCAUGCCACUCACGCCACCCGCACCCCUUUUACGCCAAAGAACAAAACCACAGACACAACUUUACCAAAACUUAUACACCAAAAUCCAGGUAUAGAUUUAAAUUUUUACUUACAUUCACUGCUAUUUAGGACACUUCAAAAGCCAUAAACUGACCAUUUCAGUACUUACGAAAUUAUAUUCAUGGCUAUUGAGGUUGCAGGUUACAUUUUGUUCAUUAUUUGAAUAAUGAACUACAAAUGUAAUCAGUGUAGUGCAUGAAGCAAAGCCUCACUGCAGAAUUCAGACAGACAGCUGCUGCUCACCGGUAUAAAGGGAG
ensembl:lncRNA